GGACGUGGACAGCUGCGAUAAGCUCCGGUGAGCCGCUAACAGGCUUUGACCCGGAGAUCUCCGAAUCGGGAAACCGAGCAGGGUCUUCCUGCGAGGUGCGUGAUGAAUCCAUAGUCGCGCAUCGGCCAACCCAGGGAACUGAAACAUCUAAGUACCUGGUAGGAAAAGAAAGAAAACUCGAUUCUCCUAGUAGUGGCGAGCGAACGGGGAUCAGCCCAAACCCGUGCAUGAAAGUGCGCGGGGGUUGUAGGGCCAGAGAUGUGGGAUUUGUGAGUGCUAGACGAACCGCUUGGGACGGCGGGCCAUAGAGGGUGACAGCCCCUUAGUCGAAAGCGCAAGCAACCCUAUCUGGUACCUGAGUACCGCAGGACACGUGCAAUCCGGCGGGAAUCUGGAGGGACCACCCUCCAAGGCUAAAUACUCCUUACUGACCGAUAUUGAACAAGUACCGCGAGGGAAAGGCGAAAAGAACCCCGG
rnacentral:rRNA from 1 species